UCCGGUUUGUCACCGGCAGUCUCGCAUGAGUCCCCAACUAAAUGCUGGCAACAUGCGACGGGGGUUGCGCUCGUUGCGGGACUUAACCCAACAUCUCACGACACGAGCUGACGACAGCCAUGCAGCACCUGUCCAAGGGUCCCGAAGGAGGGCGCUCGUUUCUGAGCGCUUUCCCCUGGAUGUCAAGCCCAGGUAAGGUUCUUCGCGUUGCGUCGAAUUAAACCACAUGCUCCACCGCUUGUGCGGGCCCCCGUCAAUUCCUUUGAGUUUCAGCCUUGCGGCCGUACUCCCCAGGCGGGGCACUUAAUGCGUUAGCGCCGGCACCCAGGGGGUCGCUCCCCCAGGCACCUAGUGCCCAUCGUUUACGGCGUGGACUAC
rnacentral:misc_RNA from 1 species